rnacentral:rRNA from 1 species
UACGAAGGGGGCUAGCGUUGCUCGGAAUCACUGGGCGUAAAGGGUGCGUAGGCGGGUCUUUAAGUCAGGGGGGAAAUCCUGGAGCUCAACUCCAGAACUGCCUUUGAUACUGAAGAUCUUGAGUUCGGGAGAGGUGAGUGGAACUGCGAGUGUAGAGGUGAAAUUCGUAGAUAUUCGGAAGAACACCAGUGACGAAGGCGGCUCACUGGUCCGGUACUGACGCUGAGGUGCGAAAGCGUGGGGAGCAAACAGG